ensembl:lncRNA
AUGCUGGUUUUUUUAAGUGAUAGUUCUUAUAUAAUUAUGAGUGUUUUUUUAAAAAAUAAAUGUGUAGAAUAUAAACUGGAGUUAGUAAAACAAAAUAAGUUGAACAUAUAUAAACAACUAUUUAAUGCAUGUAAUAAAGAGAAGGUGUUUUAUGAAAAAAAAAGUAAAGAGAAUGAAAAAAAGAUUGAAGCACUUGAUAAAGCGGUAAUGUUAUUAGAAUUAGAUAAUGAAAAUUAUAUAGAAGCAAAUAAUGAAUUAAAAAAAAUUAUCGAAUCGAAUAAAGAAAUAAUUGAUAUAAUUGAAGUUGUUAUCGAAAAAAAAAAUAAUAAAAUUGAAAAGUUACAAAAAGAAAAUAAAAAAAUACAUGAAGCAGAAGAAGUUAUUGAAAAAAAAAAAAAAGAAAAUGAACAUUUAUCAAAAAAUAUAUAUAAAUUAAAUAUCAAGUUUAAUGAAUAUGUAUCAAAAUUAAAAUGUUCUAACAAAACAACUAAUAACUUAAAUAGUAAAAUUAAUAAUUUAUUAUUGCAAUUACAAAAGGAACAAGCAAAAAAUGAUAAACUAUUAUUAUAUUUAUCACAUUUGAUGAAGUAUAGAAAUAAUGAUGAUACUUUUAUGGAUAAUACGGAUUUUUUUAAAAUAAUGAAAUAUAAACAUUUGGAAGAUUGGUCUGAUUGUUCAAAUUUGUCAGAUUGGUCAAAUGUAUCAAACUGGAUGAACCAAACUAUGUCGGGGCAACAUUCUCAUAAUAUGUUAUUACCGGAGCUAAAGGAUAAUUUGAAGUAUGUAACAAACAAGGAAACAGGUUUUAAUUAUAUGCUAAAAGAUAAUUAUACAGAAAAUAAAAAAAUAAAAAAAAGAACAAGUAAAGAGCAUAUGUUAGAAGAUAUAUUUAGUUUAAACAGCGAUAUGGAAGAAGAAAGUAAUUAUAAUUUGGGUAGUUAUACUAACAAUGAUAAUUAUAACAAUAACAGUAAAAACAAAUCAUUUCAAAAAGAAGGUAUUAAAUGUUUAAAAGAUGUAAUGGGUGAAAAUGAAGAUACGUUACCAAUACAAUUGUUUAAUAGUAGCGAUGAAAAAAGAGAACAUGAUGAUGAAUGUAAAUAUAAUAAAAAGGAACAUAAGCUUAAAAAUAUAGAGUGUGAACACAUUAAUAUGAAACACGAAAAUAAUGAUGGAGAGAACGAAGGUACUGAUAAUGAUUUAUUAAUUGAUGAUGCUUUAUUAGAUGAGUAUAAAAGAUAUAAGUCACAAAUUGGUUCGAAUAACAUAUUAGAAACAGAAAGUGACAGUGAUAUUUUAAAAAAAAAGAAAAUAACAAAAAAUUAUAAUACUAGUGGUAGCAAAUUGUUUGAUAAUGAUACUGUUUACUUUAAUUGGAGUAGUGAUAACAAAAGAAGCAACAGUGAUAGUUGUGAUUUUAAUUUGGAAAUGGAUAGUAUAAAUGCAAAACAAAAAAAUAAGCUUGAAAAAAAGGAAAUUUUGUUAAAAAAAGAUAAUAAAUCACUUAAAAGUAAAAAUAAGAUUAGCAAAAAGUGUAAUGAAAAUAAGGUUCAUGUUAAUAAUGUAAAAUGCAAAAACAGUGAAAGGGGACGUGUUUUGUUAUUUGAUGAACACGUAUAUAAGCAAAUGGGUAAAGAAGAGGGUAAGCAAAAUAAAGAAAUAAAUGGAUUAAAACAUUAUAAAAUAAAAAACGAAAUUGAUUAUGAUAAAUAUAUAAUUAAUUGCAACACUACAAUGAAUAAUGGGAUAGAUAAAAUAAAUAAAAACCAUUUUAAAAUUAAAAAAGGGUAUUGUGAAAAUAAUAAAACGAAUAGUGAUAAUUACUUAAAUGUUAGUAAGAACAAUUUUAAUAAACAGCUGAACAAAAAAAACAACAAAAAUUCGUCUUUAUGGACAAAUACAACUGUAGAAAACGAUAAAGAUAUAAGUGAAAAAAAAAAAACAAAAAUAUAUUAA